AGUGAACGCUGGCGGCAGGCCUAACACAUGCAAGUCGAACGGCAGCACAUGAAGUGCUUUCUCGUACGGGUGGCGAGUGGCGGACGGGUGAGGAGUACAUCGGAAUCUACUUUCUCGUGGGUGAUAACGUAGGGAAGCUUACGCUAAUUCCUCAUAGGACCUACUGCUGGAUGCAGGGGAUCUUGGGACCUUGCGUGCUUGAAUUUGCGGAUGUCGGAUUGGCUUGUCGGCGUGGUAAAGGCCCACUGAGCCGACGAUCCGUAGCUGGUCUGAGAGGAUGAGCGGCCACACUGGAACUGGGACACGGUCCCGACUCAUACGGGAGGCAGCAGUGGGGAAUGGUGAACAAGGGGCGCAAGCCUGAUCCAGCCAUACCGCGUGGGUGAGGAAGGCCUUCGGGUUGUAGAGCCCUUUUGUUGGGGAAGAAAAGCAGCAGGUUAAGACCGCGCGGUUCUGACGGUACCCAAAGAAUAAGCACCGGCUAACUACGUG
rnacentral:rRNA from 1 species